GUAGGUGGCAAGCGUUGUCCGGAAUUAUUGGGCGUAAAGCGCGCGCAGGUGGUUUCUUAAGUCUGAUGUGAAAGCCCACGGGCUCAACCGUGGAGGGUCAUUGGAAACUGGGGAACUUGAGUGCAGAAGAGGAAAGUGGAAUUCCACGUGUAGCGGUGAAAUGCGUAGAGAUGUGGAGGAACACCAGUGGCGAAGGCGACUUUCUGGUCUGUAACUGACACUGAGGCGCGAAAGCGUGGGGAGCAAACAGGAUUAGAUACCCUGGUAGUCCACGCCGUAAACGAUGAGUGCUAAGUGUUAGGGGGUUUCCGCCCCUUAGUGCUGCAGCUAACGCAUUAAGCACUCCGCCUGGGGAGUACGGCCGCAAGGCUG
rnacentral:rRNA from 1 species